rfam:Felis catus isolate Cinnamon breed Abyssinian chromosome A3, whole genome shotgun sequence.
GCCUGGGUGGCUCAGUCGGUUGAGCAUCCGACUUCAGCUCAGGUCAUGAUCUCCAAGUUCAUGGGUUUGAGUCCCAUGUCAGGCU